UACGUAGGGUGCAAGCGUUGUCCGGAAUUAUUGGGCGUAAAGAGCUCGUAGGCGGUGUGUCACGUCGGCCGUGAAAACCUGCAGCUUAACUGUGGGCGUGCGGUCGAUACGGGCAUCACUGGAGUUCGGCAGGGGAGACUGGAAUUCCUGGUGUAGCGGUGAAAUGCGCAGAUAGCAGGAGGAACACCGGUGGCGAAGGCGGGUCUCUGGGCCGAUACUGACGCUGAGGAGCGAAAGCGUGGGGAGCAAACAGG
rnacentral:rRNA from 1 species